rnacentral:rRNA from 1 species
GGCUAAAUACUCGUAAUCGACCGAUAGUGAACCAGUACCGUGAGGGAAAGGCGAAAAGAACCCCGGGAGGGGAGUGAAAUAGAUCCUGAAACCGCAUGCAUACAAACAGUGGGAGCCCCUUCGUGGGGUGACUGCGUACCUUUUGUAUAAUGGGUCAGCGACUUACGUUCAGUAGCGAGCUUAACCGCAUAGGGGAGGCGUAGGGAAACCGAGUCCGAAUAGGGCGCCUAGUUGCUGGACGUAGACCCGAAACCAAGUGAUCUAUCCAUGGCCAGGAUGAAGGUGCGGUAACACGCACUGGAGGUCCGAACCCACUAAUGUUGAAAAAUUAGGGGAUGAGCUGUGGAUAGGGGUGAAAGGCUAAACAAACUUGGAAAUAGCUGGUUCUCUCCGAAAAACUAUUUAGGUAGUGCCUCAAGUAUCACCGACGGGGGUAAAGCACUGUUAUGGCUAGGGGUCAUCGCGAUUUACCAAACCAUUGCAAACUCAGAAUACCGUUGAGUGCGAGCUUGGGAGACAGACAUCGGGUGCUAACGUCCGGUGUCGAGA